UAGAAAGUAGUAUAAAAUGGCAAAACGGAGAAUUUUGAUUUCUUCAAUAUAAGUUCAAUCCUUAUCUUUCUAA
rnacentral:tRNA from 1 species